rnacentral:rRNA from 1 species
GAUGAACGCUGGCGGCGUGCCUAAUACAUGCAAGUAGAACGCUGAGUUAAUAAGCUUGCUCUUUCCAGCAUAGUUUCGGACUUGUGAGUAACUCGGAAAUAAGCUGCCUGGUAGCGGGGGAGAGCGGUUGGAAACGAGAGCUAAUACCGCAUAACAGUAGAUUUUUCAUUAUAUCUACAUAAUAAAUUCAAUUGCGCCACUGCAAGAUUAACCUGCGUUGUAUUAGCGAGUUGGUGAGGUAACGACUCACCUAGGCGACGAUACAUAGCCGACCUGAGAGGGUGAUCGGCCACACUGGGACUGAGACACGGCCCAGACUCCUACGGGAGGCAGCAGUAGGGAAUCUUCGGCAAUGGACGGAAGUCUGACCGAGCAACGCCGCGUGAGUGAAGAAGGUUUUCGGAUCGUAAAGCUCUGUUGUAAGAGAAGAACGAGUGUGAGAGUGGAAAGUUCACACUGUGACGGUAUCUUACCAGAAAGGGACGGCUAACUACGUG